UAGUCAUAUAUUCUGUAUUAUUAAUCACUUAAAUUUGUGCCCUGCCCUCCCCAGAGGCUGAUGACCCCCCUCUCUACACCCCUGCAUUCUGAGGCAGGGACCAGGCUCCCAACCGGCAUGGAAGAAUCUGUCCCCUGCCACCAUGGGGACACACACUGGCAGCAAAUGAGGGGGCUGCUGCCAGACUUCACUCAUCCAGAGAAGACUAGUAAGGAAAAUGUAGACCUCAGGUUAAAUGACAUCAUCCUGAUACAUUCAUCCCAUCAUGUUCCAGUUUUCCUGAAGAGGUGUUGGGAAAUCCUUAGUAGCUUCUCUUACUACAUCAUAUCCAGUCUUAGAGAUGAAGUUAUUUCUUAUCCUGUACUGGUCAGCAAUCCAUUGUUGUGUGGCUUGAAUAUUGACAACAAGCAGAGGAAGCCCUUGCUUAUAAGAUCUGAAUUAAUGUAUAUUCUUGGUUUACUCACUUUUAUGGUCAUCUAUAUCAGUGGGUGUGAGGAGGGGAAGCAAUCCACAUCUAGACUGCCUGCACGGUUACCCCAAAGUCCUUAAAUGGAAAUUCUAAUGAAGCCUUCAAACUCAAAUCAGGGAGAGGGUCCCUAAGGAAGCGAGAAUAAUUCUGAAACGUGAAUUCCAGCACUGAAAUUAUAUGUUGUGUUGAGGAAAUUCUGGAGCAUGACUGAGGAAUAUAGAAGAUCUCAAACUGGUGAGAAAUGGCAAAAGAGUUGGCCUAGAUAAGGAGAAGGAAGUUAAUUAAACUAUUUGAAAUAAUUAAUAAUUUAUAGUUCCUUAAGGUUUUUUUUGUUUGUUUUGUUUUUACUUUUCUUGAAAUGAUUUUAUAAAAUGAUGAAACUGGUACCCUAUAUGGUUAAAUAAAUUUCCUAUGGUAAAAUUGUUAAUAAGUGUC
rnacentral:lncRNA from 1 species